rnacentral:lncRNA from 1 species
GCUCACCAGCCAUGCUAACUGUCUAUAGAGACAGACCCAAGAAAAAGAUUUUUGGCAUGGGAUGAAUGAGAUACCUUAGAUUGAUGUAAAAAAGCAAACUGGGGCAGGGAAGAGAGGAGGAAGAGGAAAAAACUGUGUUUGAGGAAUGCACAGGUCAUCCAUGUGGAGAAACCAGUGGGCAGUUGGCUCCAUGCAUCAGAACUUCUGGUAAUCAACCCCUGACAGCCUUUGCAUUGUCCAUGAUCUCAGCCUACCACCUCCUCCCCCUGAGGCUGGGCCAU